rnacentral:rRNA from 1 species
GACGAACGCUGGCGGCGUGCUUAACACAUGCAAGUCGAACGGAAAGGCCCUGCUUUUGUGGGGUGCUCGAGUGGCGAACGGGUGAGUAACACGUGAGUAACCUGCCCUUGACUUUGGGAUAACUUCAGGAAACUGGGGCUAAUACCGGAUAGGAGCUCCUGCUGCAUGGUGGGGGUUGGAAAGUUUCGGCGGUUGGGGGUGGACUCGCGGCUUAUCAGCUUGUUGGUGGGGUAGUGGCUUACCAAGGCUUUGACGGGUAGCCGGCCUGAGAGGGUGACCGGCCACAAUAGGACUGAGAGACGGCCCAGACGCCUACGGGAGGCAGCAGUGGGGAAUAUUGCACAAUGGGCGGAAGCCUGAUGCAGCGGCGCCGCGUGCGGGAAGACGGCCUUCGGGUUGUAAACCGCUUUCGCCUGUGACGAAGCGUGAGUGACGGUAAUGGGUAAAGAAGCACCGGCUAACUACGUG